AGCGUAUAUUAAAGUUGUUGCAGUUAAAAAGCUCGUAGUUGGAUUUCUGUUAAUAAUUUAUAUAAAAUAUUUUGAUGAAUAUUUAUAUAAUAUUAACAUAAUUCAUAUUACUAUUUUUUUUUUUAGUAUAUGAAAUUUUACUUUGAGAAAAUUAGAGUGCUUAAAGCAGGCAUAUGCCUUGAAUACUCCAGCAUGGAAUAAUAUUAAAGAUUUUUAUCUUUUUUAUUGGUUCUAAGAUAAGAAUAAUGAUUAAUAGGGACAGUUGGGGGCAUUUGUAUUUAACAGUCAGAGGUGAAAUUCUUAGAUUUGUUAAAGACAAACUAAUGCGAAAGCAUUUGCCAAGGAUGUUUUCAUUAAUCAAGAACGAAAGUUAGGGGAUCGAAGACGAUCAGAUACCGUCGUAGUCUUAACCAUAAAC
rnacentral:rRNA from 1 species